rnacentral:rRNA from 1 species
GGCCACAGCCAUAUCACCCUGCAGCCCAAGACUGGUUGCCCACUGAAGCUAAGCAGGGUUGAGCCUGGUCAGUACCUGGAUGGGAGACCUCCUGGGAAAACUAGGUUGCUGUUGGAU